CUUUGAGACCACCCUAGUGGAAGGAGAGGAGGCAGCUGAGGAAUAUCAGAGAGCCAUCAGUAGAAUCUAAACCCCCAGACAGAGCCGAGGCCAGAUCUCAGCCUGAGGAGCCACAAACCAACACCUGACUCUUUUAUGGCUUCAAGCUAAUAGAACUCAUUCUGUUUCCUGACUCAUUACUAUAAACCUGCUCCUGUGACCUUCUGUUUGGCACAAUAUCUGUAAAUGAUGACUUUUUCCCCUUAAUGGGCCAGGCUUAAACUAAGAAACUGACUGCAUCGGUGUUACACUGCAAAAACGCUAAAUCCUACCAAGUCUGUUUGUCUUAUUGUUAGUCUAAAUGUCUCAUCCCAUUUGAUUCAAGAUAAAUUCACUUAACAAGAGACAUUUCAGCAGAUGGAGGGGCUUGUUUUAAGACAAUGCACCUUAACCCUCCUGUUGUCUUCAUUUAUGGGCACCAAAAAAUAUUGUUCCUUCAUCUGAAAAAAAUCCAAAAAUUGAGCAAAACAAAUUCACCAACUUCAUAAAAUUUUGCAAAACCUUCAGGAAGAAAAUUCUAAAAAAUCCUUAAAGAUUUCCCUUAACAUUUUUUUUUUUUUUAAAUCCCCAAAUUUGGCAAGAAAUAAAAAUUUAAAAAAUAAAAAUAAAAUAAAAAUUGUAUUUUUUUUAAAUGAAUACAAAUCUUUCAAAAAACAUUUCUUUUUUUCCACCAAAAAAUGUUAACAGAUUUCCCAAAAAUGUUGAAAAUGUGGACAUCAGAAGUUUCACUAUGAAAAUAUUUUUUUCCCCACAUUUUCAAACUUUAAAUUUGCCAAACCUUCAGGAAGAAAAUUCCAAUAAUUCCUUAAGUUUCCCUGAAAAGUUUUCUUUUUAAAAAAAUCCCCCAAAUUUGGCAAGAAAAUUCUUGUAAAUAUUUUCAAAAAAUGAGUAAAAAUCUUCAAAAAAAAUCCUAAAAAUAUCUAAAGUGAUUCCAUAUAUAUCAGUAAAACUUCUAAUAUUUUCUUUAGGAAUAUUCACAUAAAAAUCAACCAAAAUCCAGCGAAUUUUGUUUGAUUUUUUUCUGAAUGUUCUUAAAGAAACAUAUUUUUUUGAACAUUUCUUUUUUUCCACCAAAAAAUGUUCAAAAAUUUCCCAAAAAUGUUGAAAAUGUGGACAUGACGUUUCACUGUGAAAAUAUAUAUUCUUUUCCACAUUUUCAAACUUUAAAACGGGUCAAUUUUGACCUGCAGGACGACACAAGGGUUAAAUAUCUUGUUAAGUCAAACAAUCUUGAAAUUAUCUUGUUUUGAGUUGUAUUUUACAAGAAAACUCAAAAUAAGUUUAAUACAUCUCAAAUUAGGAGGUUACAUGAAGGCAAAAAUCUAUUUUUGAGUGAAAAACUGCUAUAUUUUUUAGCAUGUCUAGCUUAUUUUAAGACACCUAAGCUUGACAAUCCUGGUAAAAUAGAGCUUCAAAUAAGUUUCACAGCUAAUUUUAAGAUCUCAAUAUUCUAAAUAUCAUAUCUUAUUUCAAGAAAUCUGACCAAGACAUUUUUCACUUGUUCUGUUGGCAGAUUUUUUCACUUAUUUCAAGGUAAAAGUUCUUUGAAACAAGUUUAUUUUUCUUGUUUUUAGAGGGGCAUUUUGUCCAGUGUAGAAUUACUCAUGCUGUCACUCUGCCAGCCUACACUUAUUGUCCAUCUAUCUCCCGUCCUGUAUUGAAGCUGUACCGUCUCCUGUGUGUUUGCUGCAUAUCUAAUAGUUAUUAAAAUCUGCAGGCUGGAAGCUGUCAGAGCCCAUUCUUCAUUGUGAAGUGCGCUUGGCAAGCUAAAAGAUGCUUCAGAAUUAAUCUGACAUUAAAACCAAGAAAGUAAUUUUCUUCCACA